CAAAACUCGUUUGCUGGUAUCAAACUGUUGACCAUAUAGCAUGACUUUUGUCGAAUCUAUUUCUAGUGUAGGUAUCUAUGAUAACAUUUGCAGAUAUUAUGUUUCAAAAGAUGUAUUCGUGAAGAUGUAUCUUUUGUUCAGCUAUUAAUUGGGUUUCACAUGAUGAUUUUGACGUCGCAGUAUCUUUUGAUGGCGAUUUUGAUGACUUCAUACUUGCGUCUUACGCUUCAGGACAAAAAUCUACCAGACCAUGGGAUUCAGGGGAAGACGCAGCGAGACGGUGUGGCAGCAAACGACAGUCCUGCAGCGGCAUAUUUACCAGCAUACGCAAUACCCGACGGAUCACCGGUGGAUCCUUGUGUGACAUGCAGACCUCGCCGAACUACGCACAAUUGUCGGAGAAACACUUUGGACGGAUGUCCAAGUCGGCCCAGCUCGACCUGCGGCACCACAAAACGAUGCAAGUCCCAAGCACGUACAAGAUCUACGAAACGCCUAUGUUCCUCAUCGUCUUCUCGUCCUGCUUCCUUCUCUUCCACCAAAAAAACCAUGAAACGUAGCAAUCGUUCUUCCAUCCGUGUCAAACCGAACCACACUGGACUGAAAGAUUUAAAUUUCUAACCGUUAUAAUAAUAAAUUGAAAACAACUUAACAUGUCCUUGAUAUUAUAUACAUUAUAUAUAUAA